ensembl:lncRNA
AUUUUUUAUGCAUUUUUCUAAACUGUCAUGGCGAUUUUGUGUCCUUGGAAAUAAAAAGCGCCAGUGUUUUUCGGGCUAACCGGGGGGAUGUCUCGCCGGUGAGAGCGUGUGUCCGGUGUCCGGAGCAGAUGCUGUGAAGGGAUAGAAGAUGAAAAUACUCAAGAAGGACAAGCAGCAGAUGUUCACUGGCCUCUUGAAGCACACACCACCUCAGGCCUCCGCUGCAGCAGCCUCUUCCUCGGACCAAAACAGCAACGCACAAACUACAGCUCCCACAAUCCCACGGGGACACCUGGUUGUGGGCACCAAGGACCAGCUCCGCCUCCUCACCCCUGUGGGCAGCACGGUGACAUCCAAUCACUGCACCACAUCCGGGGUCCACGCUGCUAAGCACUCCGGAGGAGCGCCACGGCCUCCCUCCUCUAUGAGCGAGGAGGAUGAUGGAGGUGGCGGAGGCAGGGUGAAGAAGAAACGAAAGAAAAAGGACAAGAGGGAAUGGGAGAAAGCAGGAGUGGAGUGUGAGGAAAAGGAGAGCAGCAAACCAAAGAAACGAAGGGAGGAGAGGGAGCCAAUAGUGGUCUCCCUGAGAAAGAGCAAGGAACCCAAGGAGGGAAAGGAGAGAAAGGAGCGUAAGGAGCGCAGGACCAAGGGAAAGGAGGGCAGGACAGAGAGUGAGACGGUGCUGAAAAAUGUGUCGGGAGUUAAAACGUCAGGUGCCGCCGUUUCCCCGGGAUCGGCUCAGAUGCCUGUCAAGGUUCCUGGCAAAAGAGGAAGAAAACCUAAGGUCAAAGUCCUACCUCCUGUACCCUCGAAUCAAGCUCGUCCUACCCAAGGAGUCCACACAAAAGUCCCAGGGGGGGCACACGGCACCCAGGCCGCCCACAGCCAUGGUAAGAACCACGGUCAGGCGAACAGCAAGACGCCAGUCCCGUCAGCGCCAAAACAGAGGGGUCGAAAACCCAGGUAAGACUUUCGGACGGGCUAACAAUUCAUGGGUGGAGAGAAGAAUUUACAAGGAGAAUAUUGCUAUAGGGAAAAAAGGUAGAGAAAAGAGGCCGCACUAGAAAACCCCUUGAAGUGCACAAUAAUGGGGUAAAGCGAGGAAGUCGGCAGUAAACCUGUCGUGUGCAACAAAUAAUGCAGUUCCUUGGUUACAAAUAUUUCACUUUGAAGCUACAUUAAGGAGAAAUACUAAAGAGAGACCCAG